AUUGAACGCUGGCGGCAGGCCUAACACAUGCAAGUCGAACGAGUGGCGGACGGGUGAGGAAUGUAUGGGAACCUGCCCUAUCGAGGGGGAUAACGGGGGGAAACAUUCGCUAAUACCGCAUACGAUCGGAUGGGCCGAGGUGGGAUUAGCUAGUAGGUGGGGUAAAGGCUCACCUAGGCGACGAUCCGUAGCUGGUCUGAGAGGAUGACCAGCCACACUGGAACUGAGACACGGUCCAGACUCCUACGGGAGGCAGCAGUGGGGAAUAUUGCACAAUGGGCGCAAGCCUGAUGCAGCCAUGCCGCGUGUAUGAAGAAGGCCUUCGGGUUGUAAAGUACUUUCAGUGGGGAGGCGUUACCCACAGAAGAAGCACCGGCUAACUCCGUGCCAGCAGCCGCGGUAAUUC
rnacentral:rRNA from 1 species